CCUACGGGAGGCAGCAGUGAGGAAUAUUGGUCAAUGGACGAGAGUCUGAACCAGCCAAGUAGCGUGAAGGAUGACUGCCCUAUGGGUUGUAAACUUCUUUUAUAUGGGAAUAAAAUGUUCCACGUGUGGGCUUUUGUAUGUACCAUAUGAAUAAGGAUCGGCUAACUCCGUGCCAGCAGCCGCGGUAAUACGGAGGAUCCGAGCGUUAUCCGGAAUUAUUGGGUUUAAAGGGUGCGUAGGUGGAUUGUUAAGUCAGUUGUGAAAGUUUGCGGCUCAACCGUAAAAUUGCAGUUGAAACUGGCAGUCUUGAGUACAGUAGAGGUAGGCGGAAUUCGUGGUGUAGCGGUGAAAUGCUUAGAUAUCACGAAGAACUCCGAUUGCGAAGGCAGCUCACUGGACUGCAACUGACACUGAGGCUCGAAAGUGUGGGUAUCAAACAGGAUUAGAUACCCCAGUAGUC
rnacentral:rRNA from 1 species